GGAAUAUUGCACAAUGGAGGAAACUCUGAUGCAGCGACGCCGCGUGGGCGAAGAAGGUUUUCGGAUCGUAAAGCCCUUUUCUAGGUGACGAGAAAGGACGGUAGCCUAGGAAUAAGUGUCGGCUAACUACGUGCCAGCAGCCGCGGUAAAACGUAGGACGCGAACGUUAUCCGGAGUUACUGGGCGUAAAGCGCGUGCAGGCGGUUUGGUAAGUUACCUAUGAAAGCUCUCGGCUAAACUGGGAGAGGAUAGGUGAUACUGCUUGACUUGAGUGAGAAAGAGGGAAGUAGAAUUCCGGGUGUAGUGGUGAAAUGCGUAGAUAUCCGGAGGAAUACCAGUGGCGAAGGCGGCUUCCUGGUUCUCAACUGACGCUGAGACGCGAAAGCGUGGGUAGCGAAC
rnacentral:rRNA from 1 species